GUUCCGCUUCCGGUGCGGCCCCCGCGGGGGGAGGGGAGCGGGGAGCGGUCGUGCCGCGCUCGGGGUGUCCUCGGGGGGCGAGAAGUGGAAUUUGGGGGUGAAAAAGGGCCACAAGGGCCGCUUCGCUCCGCUGCCGGACGCGGGGCCGACCCCCAUCCGCCGGCUGAGGGCCGGGAGCUGCGGCGGAGUCCUAUGGAAGAGGCGGCCGAGGGGAGAACUCAGCGCUCCCUGCGGCUCCGUGGGGGGAGCUGCUGUGCGUUCACCUCAUCGCCAGCCAAGUCCUCGCCUCCACCUGCUGCAGUCACAGCCCCACCUGCAGCUGCCACCCGAGGCAAUGGUGCCAGCCCACAGCACGGGUUGGGGCUGUAAGGUUCCUUCCAAGCCAAGCUGUUCUGGGAGCCAAGGUUCUUUACCCCCAGACCUCCCUCCCCACCGCUGUGAAAGGGCCAGGAGGAACGGCGAGGUGCUGCUGUGAAGCGAAGCUCCUGGUGCAGCUCAACCAGCUCCACACUCAGUGGAUUUCUGUGCCCAAAGACGGGCAGGAUGCGGGGAAUUGGACCCCUGAAGAAUCACCCACUCUGGUUGCCCCCUCGGGAGGAGGUGUUUCCCUGCAGGAAGGGCUGUGGUGCUGCUCAGUCCAAAGGUCACUGAAUGCCCAGUGUGGGUGCAGCUAUGGGGGCUGGACUCUGGUUUAACUUUGGAACGUGGGCUCACCCCGAAAACCUUGAGAAAAGGAAAGUGGAAAGCAAACGGCCCCAUGGAAAGGACAAGGGAAACCCCUGAAACCCCUGCCCGACCCAUUGGGAUGGUGGUGUGUGGGAUGGAGGGGAACUCCAGCUGUGGAGAUAAAAUACCAGAGGUGGCUGGGAAACCCCACAGAACCCCUCAAACAGAUCUUCCUCCUCCAGAGGGACAGCAAGGCCCUGGGGAAUUGCCAAUGUGAAGAACUCAACGUGAAGGUGAUUUGGGGGGGCCUGAAAGCACUGCAAACUCACAUCUCUGUCACCAUCUGAAGCGUCACCACCCACUGGCAGAGGAGGAUGCUGUGGUGAGCUCAGGGUGCAGCCCCAUCCCGAGUGUCCCCAACACCCUUUUGCCCCAGACUGUAUAAACAACAGGGUCAGGCGUGAACCCCACACGCCCUUUGCCCUGCUGUGUAGUCCUUCAUGCAGGACCAGGCAACACCAGGGUCUGGAAGGAGAAAUCCCACUCCAGAGCCCUCCCUGUGGCCCCAAGGAAUGCGUCCUUGUUGGGAAACGGAUUCUUGGCACUGGGAGGAAUAACAGAAGCAAGCUAAGCUCGCUCCAGCAGCUCAGGGCAGCGCCCAGCACAUAUUUCCCCAGCAGUGCCAAGCUGUAAAGCACAAACAAACACGGGCACAUACUUGGCACCCAGCUGGAACAGCGUGUCCCUGUGCAAACACCCGGCUCCUGCUUUGAAGUGGGCCAGAGGGGAUGACGAAUGGCUGAUUUGGGGUGGGGGAAAUGGGAACAGGAUGUCUGAUGACGGGAUGACGGGGCUGUGGGGAGGGUCGGCGCAAUGCUUUGAACCCCAGUGACGCCAGCAGCUGGAGGAAGCAAAGUAUGACAUCAGGGUUGAUAACGCGGGCAAGGCUGCAAGCUCACAGCCAGCAGCACAGCCCUGGUGAGGGGAGAUGUCACCACGGGGCAGCUCUGUCCUCUGGGUGACACCAGGAGUCCCUGGUGCAUGGCAUGGAAAGGAAUUGAGAUUUCUUUUGAAAGAGGGGAAAACCCCUCCCCCCCCCCCCCCCCCCCGUGACUCCCACGAGGUCAGCUGAGACACAACGUGGUGCUGAGGCAGGACAGGAUGCAGCACAGAUACUUCUGCUCUCCACACCUCAAAGAAACCCCUUUAAGCUCAUGGAGCACCAAAAACACCCUUGGAAAGCUGGUGCUGAACACAGGACUUUCCUUCUGCUGGCUCACCCCGCUCUGUCAGCCUAAUCCUUGCAAUACUCAUACUCAGGAGCAGAGGACAAAGGCGCAAACACCCCUAAAACCAAAGGCAGAUUCCAUCGUGCCCUGUCCAGCAAGCAAUGGACGUGGGGACACUGCCCUGCUGCUCCAGGGACAGAACAGACGUCACCCACAGCACGUUAUGGUCGUUGUAAGGAACUUCUGUUGCUGAUUCUCAUCCUGUGUUGUCACAAUCGCUUCCUCCUGCUGCACAAACAUGCUUGGCAUUUCCAGCAAAGGAGGGAAGACGUGCUCAGAGUCAGUCGUUCCCUCCCAGCCCCCCGUGGGUGCAGGUAGCAGCACAGGGGCAGCCCAAAGCUGCAAUACAGCUUUGCAUUUUUCACUA